rnacentral:lncRNA from 1 species
ACGUCAUAGUUUCGCUCUGCCGGGCUGAGCUUCCUCGAGAAGAAGGCACAGGGGCGGAGCUUUGGUGGCGUACCCGAGCGCUGAGAGAGCACAGCUCCUAUCCCAGCCUCGGACGUGUCCACCUCCACUAUGAACGCCAAAGAGGGAUUCGGAUGGGCCAGCACGGGAGCCGAGAUACCUUGCAAUUGGAAUGCAUGCCUGUCCCAACCAAGGACGACUGGAGGGCCAUAGCUACUGGCUUUGAAGAAUGGUGCAACUUUCCUCAUUGUCUGGGAUCAGUGGAUGGCAAGCACGUAGUCCUGCAAUCGCCCCCUAAACUCCAGCUCCCUGUUCUACAACCACAAGGGGACAUUCUCCAUUGUCCUCUUGGCGGUUGUGGAUGCCAAUUACCUCUUUCGGUUAGUGGAUGUCGGCAGCUAUGGGAGGAAGAGCGGCGGAGAUACUCUGGCAAUCUGCCUUUUAUCCUCAAGGAUGGCACCCUGGACCUCCCCGAAGACAGCCUGAUUCUGGAGCAGAGCACCGGGGACUAAUGGUGCCUGGGUUAGCUGUUUGUUCACCUGCACCUGCCAACAAUUGCUAAUAUCCUAUCCGCAACCGUCCGACUAUAUGUGAUAAAGUGAAAAGCUGAGGCCUGCACACAACCCUAACUUGCAAAUAUAGAAAAUGCGCUAUAGGCUAGUCUGCAGAACGAUUUUUUUUGACAGGGGGUACAGGAUUUGUUGUUGUGUGAUUUAGAUAUGUUUCUGCUUAUAAUUUCCAACAUUUUGAUAGGCUAUUUGUUAGUCAAUAAUUUGAUACAUGUAGCUUCUCUUUUGUCAUUGUUGCCCUAGAAGACUAAAUAAACCCUUGCUCAACAGAAUAAUGUAAUAUAGAUCGAUAGAAUGAAUGCUUCAAUCUAGUUGACAUCAGUAAAGCUGUCUCUGAUCUUUUGUGGAGCAAAGACGUUUAUAUGAAUUACAAAUCAGCCUUUAUUAACUAGUUAAAUCAUGUGUUCUAGUCUACUGCAGAGUUCCAAUGUGUAAACAUUGAGGUCCCAGGACCAGGAUUGGUAAACACUGUUGAAGUGUAUAAUUGAAAUGCAUACAUGCAGUCACAGCAUCAUUCAAAACUGGAG